rnacentral:rRNA from 1 species
CGACCUGCUAAAUAGUCUGGCUAAUCCGUCAGGAUUGGUUUGGACUUCUUAGAGGGACUAUCGGUGUGUAAUCGGUGGAAGUUCGAGGCAAUAACAGGUCUGUGAUGCCCUUAGAUGUUCUGGGCCGCACGCGCGCUACACUGAUACGUUCAUCGAGCUUACAACCUUGACUGAGAGGUCUGGGUAAUCUUCAAAUCGUAUCGUGCUGGGGAUAGAUUAUUGUAAUUUUUAAUCUUCAACGAGGAAUUUCUAGUAAACGCGAGUCAUCAGCUCGCAUUGAUUACGUCCCUGCCCUUUGUACACACCGCCCGUCGCU